rnacentral:rRNA from 1 species
AUGACGGAGGUGGCGCUGUUCCGGGGCCCGACCAACCUCGCUUCGCCCGCAAGCCGCGGCUCCUCCUCCUCCUCCUCCUCCUCCACCUCCCUGCGCUAUUUAGCCGAUAGCGACGUGCUCCAGAGAGGCACCACCGGCAGCGCCCAGAGCCCUGCAGGAUCCGCGGAGCGACAGGCCGGAGGAUCGGAGGAGGAAGAGGAGGAGGAGGAGCGCUGGUCCUUCUUGGCGCUGCUUCUCGAGCUGCUGCGGAAGUCGCUGCUCCGGUGCAGAGCGGAGGACGGCGGCCAAGGCCAGGGCGGGAUGGAGAUAGGGUUGCCCACGGAUGUGCAGCACGUGGCGCACGUCACGUUCGACCGGUUCCAUGGAUUCCUCGGGCUCCCCGUCGAGUUCGAGCCCGAGGUGCCCCGCCGCGCUCCCAGUGCCAGUGCUAGUGUCUUCGGCGUUUCAACACAAUCGAUGCAGUGUUCAUAUGAUUCCAGAGGAAACAGUGUUCCAACGAUUCUCUUGAUGAUGCAAAGACGUCUGUAUGAACAAGGAGGUCUUCAGGCAGAAGGUAUUUUUCGUAUAAAUGCGGAGAAUAGCCAGGAAGAGUUUGUGAGAGAUCACUUAAAUAGUGGAACUGUGCCGGAUGGCAUUGAUGUUCACUGUUUGGCGGGUCUAAUCAAAGCCUGGUUUAGGGAACUGCCGAGUGGGGUGCUGGAUUCUAUCCCACCUGAACAGGUGAUGCAAUGCCAAUCUGAAGAGGACUGUGCUCGGGUUGCCAAAUGCCUUCCACCAACUGAAGCAGCCUUACUUGACUGGGCUGUUAAUUUGAUGGCUGAUGUUGUCCAAGAAGAACAGAUAAACAAGAUGAGCGAUCGCAAUGUUGCUAUGGUGUUCGCACCAAAUAUGACCCAGAUGGCAGACCCUUUGACUGCACUGAUGUACGCGGUGCAAGUGAUGAAUUUCCUCAAGAUGCUAAUACAGAAGACCCUCGAGGAUAGAGAAGAGUCCAAUCUGGAAGAUGCCUCUUUGCCACAGAAGGACCCAUCUGAUGAAAAUGGCCAUCAGAACCCCAGUCUCCCCGUUAAUCCUCAACCUGAAGAAACAUCUGGGCGCCCCUCUUUUGUCAGCGAGGAGCCUAUUGUGUACAGUCCUACACACAGUGCUGAAGACAAGCCUCCUGUGGAAGGCGAUUCCAUAGCUUCCGUUGUCCAUACAAGUGAUGUCCGGUCGAGCGUGGAAGGGUCCGCUAGUUGCUCGCAGCCUGCUCUUGUCGCUUCGUCUGCCAUUGCUGAUGCUUCCUGUGCUACAGCUGCCAACUUACUUCCGAGCAGAGGGAGCCGAGGCCUGAAUAGCAGGAGGACUAGAAAGGGCAAGCGGCAGUGCGGAACGCCCGCCGCUCCUCCAGCUGAAAAAUCGAGGGGCGCGAGCAUCGUGAGCCGGAUAAACUCCAAGGUCGAACGGAUCGAAGCGUGGAGGUAG